ensembl:lincRNA
AUUCUCACAAAAAUAGCAUUUUGUUAAACUUCUUGGUCAUUGCAUAUCUGUGAAGUAUGGUUUCAUUUCACAUUUUUCUAAUUAUGAAGUUUGAACAUGUUUUCAUAAAUUGAAGAGCCAUUUAUAUUUAUGUUUUGUGGAUUGUAUACUCAUAUUCUUUGCCCUUUAUUCUACUGGGUUGUUGCUCAUUUUCUUGUUGAUUUUAUUGUGACUCUUUAUAUGUUAUGGAAAUUGGUCCUUUGUGAGAUUAGUUGCAAGAAUAUUUUACCAGAUAUUAAAGGUAUAUAGAGUCACCAUAAUCAAAAUGUACUGAUUCCUGUAUGGUGCCUAUACAGGAAUAAAAACCUGAUCAGUGAAAUAUACUUGUCCAGAAACAAAAUCCAAAUAUGCAUUGUAAAUUAAUAGCUAAAAAAGCAGCAGUUUAAAUUGUUUGAUAAACUGAUGUUGGCACAAUUGGCUAUCCACAUGAAGAAAAACAGCCAUGCCCCUAUAUCACACCAUAUCAGAAAUAUAACUUAGAUGAAUGAAUAAUUUUUAAUAAAAUUAUUUUAGAGUCCAGAAAUAAACCUAUUCAUAUAUAGUCAAUUAUUUUUUAAUAAAAUUAUUUUGAAACAAUUUUAGAUUUACAGAAAAAUAGCCAAGAUAGUUAUGGAGUUUCCGUAUACCUCACACCCAGUUUUUUUUAUGAACAUCUUACAUUAAUAUAGGUGGUACAUCUGUCAUAAUUUUUUCAUAAAACAGCAAUAUGGAUUCAUUUUUAUCAAAUGAAGUCCAUACUUUAUUUAGAUUUCCUUAGUUCUACCCUAAUGUCCCUUUUCUGUUCCCGGAUCCCAUCCAGGUUACCACAUAACAUUUAGUAGUCAUAUUUCUCGUCUCUUUUUUAUUGUGAUAGUUUCUCAGGCAUUGCUUGCUUUUCAUUUCCUUGACAGCUUUGAGGAAUGCUGGUCAGGUAUUUUGUAGUAUGUUCCUCAGUUGAGGUUUGUCUUCUUACAGGUUUUGAAGAAGACCACCAUAGAGGUAACAUGCCAUGUCAUCACAUAUUUGCAAAGAAGACAUAUUAUCAAAAUAACAUAAUCGUUCCUAUUAACCUUGAUCACCUGUUUGAGGGUCCUUCCUCAACAGGACUUGGCCUUUCUUUACUUGAUCAGUUCUGGGUCUGAGAAACUGCUCAGGGAUGGAAACUCGACAAAGGAUCAUGAUUUUUCCACUGGGACAACUGACAGGCUACUGCUCAAGUAGUCUUAUUUUUUUUAGUUUUAAAUACUCUUGCUGGUUUCUGUUAUGAGCUGAAUUGUGUUCUCCCAAAAUUCAUAUGUUGAAGUCGUACUGUGACCUAUUUGGAGAUAGGGCCUUUAGGGACAUAAUUAAGGUAGAAUGAGGUAAUUUGGGUAGGCCCGAAUCUAAUAUUACUGGUGUCCUUAUAAGAAUAAUAAAUUAGGGUACAGAUCACACACAGACUGAGGAGGCAACCAUGUGAGGACCCAAUGAGAAGGCAGCCAUCUUCAAGCCAAGAAAAGAGGCCUCAGAAGAAAUUGACCAUACCAAGAAUGUGACCUUGGACUUCUAGCUUCUAGAACAGUGAGGAAGAAACUGACCCUGCCAAAAAUUUGAUCUUGGACAUCUAGCUUCCAGAACUGUGAGGAAAUAAACUUCUAUUGUUUAAGCUGCUA